GGGGUUAUAGCUCAGUGGUAGAGUGCAUGCUUGGCACGCAUGAGGUCCUAGGUUCAAUCUCCGGUGCCUCA
rnacentral:tRNA from 1 species